CCCUUCAGUUGACUUUGAGAAGGAAGAACAGCAUCGACACUCUCCGAGCAGAUGGCUUCCUCCCGCCUUCACGUAAUCUUCCUUACAUUCCCUCAAUUUCAAAUGCAUAAAAGAAGCUGCCACACUUUUUUCUCUGGAGCAUUUGAGAGCUUCCUCCAGGCCUGUGUCAUCAGUUUGACUCAAAUUCUCUUAUAAAAAUUCUCUACACUUUUGGACGUUUCUCACGUGGACCAAGUGAUAAUAUUUUGGAUAAAUUGAUUUAAAUAAAAUAUAUUACUAAAAUUAA